rnacentral:pre_miRNA from 1 species
AGCUCAUAGAUUCAAUGGAGAGUGCACUUCUAGCUCAUAGAUUUAAUGGAGAGUAGCUAGAGGUAGACUCUCCAUUGAAUCUAUGAGCUAGAGGUGCACUCUCCAUUGAAUCUAUGAG